UGAGGAAUAUUGGUCAAUGGGCGAGAGCCUGAACCAGCCAAGUAGCGUGCAGGAUGACGGCCCUAUGGGUUGUAAACUGCUUUUAUAUGGGAAUAAAGUGAGGGACGUGUCCCUUAUUGCAUGUAACAUAUGAAUAAGGACCGGCUAAUUCCGUGCCAGCAGCCGCGGUAAUACGGAAGGUCCAGGCGUUAUCCGGAUUUAUUGGGUUUAAAGGGAGCGUAGGCCGUUUGGUAAGCGUGUUGUGAAAUGUAGGAGCUCAACUUCUAGAUUGCAGCGCGAACUGUCAGACUUGAGUGCGCACAACGUAGGCGGAAUUCAUGGUGUAGCGGUGAAAUGCUUAGAUAUCAUGAAGAACUCCGAUUGCGAAGGCAGCUUACGGGAGCGCAACUGACGCUGAAGCUCGAAGGUGCGGGUAUCGAACAGG
rnacentral:rRNA from 1 species